rnacentral:rRNA from 1 species
UACGUAGGGUGCAAGCGUUGUCCGGAAUUAUUGGGCGUAAAGAGCUCGUAGGCGGUUUGUUGCGUCGGCUGUGAAAUCCCGAGGCUCAACCUCGGGUCUGCAGUCGAUACGAGCAAACUAGAGUGUUGCAGGGGAGACUGGAAUUCCUGGUGUAGCGGUGAAAUGCGCAGAUAUCAGGAGGAACACCGGUGGCGAAGGCGGGUCUCUGGGCCUUACCUGACGCUGAGGCGCGAAAGCUAGGGGAGCGAACAGG